GACCUCAGUGAUUGAUUUUGCGUGUUUUUUUUAUAAUGUGCGGCGCCAAAUCGCAAACAGUGGCCAAAUUUCGCAAAACACAAGAGCAAGUCCUUGUUCUCUACGUAACAUUUGCGGACCAUGCAUAGCCUACUUGUUGAAAGCCGUACAGCGUCGGCAGUGUCCCAAAGCUGUCAAAUACUGCGCACAGCCUGCUGUCUCCGGUCAGGCAAAACCUACCAGCAUCCACCAGCGACCCGAACAACUCGGAGGAUUAAACAAUUUUAGAUAACUAAUUUCGCAUCCAGACCCGGAAGCUUGGAGAAAAAAAAAUAGAUGUGGUUUGUCACAUGGCUGAAGAUAUUUCAAUAACAACAAAAAAUGGCGACAAUCACGUUGCUCCGUAUGUUCUUGCUGCGUCAUUAAAAAUAUUCAUGUAAACAAGGGAAUUAAGAAGGAUAUUUAGAGGUAAGAAGAGUCGAUAUUUAUUCCCCAUUUGUUAGCUACGCAAAGGAAUUGAAUAGGCCUACGCAUUGAUAUUUUUUGGGACCAUUGCACAACGUGACAUUUGUUUGUUUUUACCUAGAAGGGGGUGUGUAUUACUCGGGGCGUUAACGUAUGGCUGCACAAUAACAUUUGAUACGAUAAGAUUGCAUUGGAUGAGGCGUUUAAAUUGGUUUUAACGUACGUCCUUUAAAACCUCAGCGUCUAUUGCAGCGACAAUUUGGAUUCAACGUUUUUGUUUUCCCAACUUUUGGUUGAUAAUAAUAGGCGGGGAGGAGUCGACGCGCGAUGAGACUGGACUGCUUGGUUGGGCGGAGUCCUGAAAAGUAUCACAACAAGUCUGACGUCACUCGUCCUUGUGUGUGGAGUGUGGUGGAGAGUCGGUGGACGGCCAGAUUUGCCAGGCUGCCCUGGUUCAGUUAUCACAGUGCUGAUGCUGUGCCCAUGGAAGGUACAGUACUGUGAUAACUGAAUGAUGGUGGCCACCUUGACACUGGAUCAUUGGAAGCAAAGGACAUCCAGACUCCAAUUUAGUAAGGAUGAUGUCUUGAUGAAAGGGCUUAGCAUAUUGCAAUGGAUUGUUUACCAUAAAACGUCAGUUGAGGUAAAAAAAAAGAUUUAUCUUGCUACCGUAUUCUGUCUUAUGGAGAGAUGUUAUGCAUGCUGAUGUACAAAUAAAAUCAUGGCCACAUGAAAGUAUCAGAUUUCAUAUUGCAUAGGUUUUCUGCAUAGGUUUUCAAUAAAUGAAUCCAACACUUGUCUGUCUCUGUAUCUAUGUAUCUUCGAAUGUAUAUUAAGAUAAGUCAUAGACACUCUUAGCAUUGUAAAUAACAUUUACUAGCCUUCAUUCCAGCCACCCUCAUGACUCCAAGAAUAUUG
ensembl:lncRNA